AGGAAAAGAAACCAACAGGGAUUGCCCUAGUAACGGCGAGUGAAGCGGCAACAGCUCAAAUUUGAAAUCUGGCUCUCGGGCCCGAGUUGUAAUUUGUAGAGGAUACUUUUGAUGCGGUGCCUUCCGAGUUCCCUGGAACGGGACGCCAUAGAGGGUGAGAGCCCCGUCUGGUUGGAUGCCAAAUCUCUGUAAAGUUCCUUCGACGAGUCGAGUAGUUUGGGAAUGCUGCUCUAAAUGGGAGGUAUAUGUCUUCUAAAGCUAAAUACCGGCCAGAGACCGAUAGCGCACAAGUAGAGUGAUCGAAAGAUGAAAAGCACUUUGAAAAGAGAGUUAAAAAGUACGUGAAAUUGUUGAAAGGGAAGCGUUUAUGACCAGACUUGGGCUUGGUUGAUCAUCUGGGGUUCUCCCCAGUGCACUCUUCCAGUCCAGGCCAGCAUCAGUUUUCGCCGGGGGAUAAAGACUUCGGGAAUGUGGCUCUCUUCGGGGAGUGUUAUAGCCCGUUGUGUAAUACCCUGGCGGGGACUGAGGUUCGCGCAUCUGCAAGGAUGCUGGCGUAAUGGUCAUCAACGACCGCU
rnacentral:rRNA from 1 species